GCCAGAGUGGCAUAGAGGUUUAAGCGUUGGACUACACCUCUGGAGACCAGGGUUCGAAUCCAGGCUCAAACA